UACGGAGGAUGCAAGCGUUAUCCGGAAUGAUUGGGCGUAAAGCGUCCGCAGGUGGCCAUGUAAGUCUGCUGUUAAAGCGUGAGGCUCAACCUCAUAAGAGCAGUGGAAACUACAUAGCUAGAGUGCGUUCGGGGCAAAGGGAAUUCCUGGUGUAGCGGUGAAAUGCGUAGAGAUCAGGAAGAACACCGGUGGCGAAAGCGCUUUGCUAGGCCGCAACUGACACUGAGGGACGAAAGCUAGGGGAGCGAAUGGG
rnacentral:rRNA from 1 species